CACCGGUGGGAGGCAUCCAUACAACAGCAUAAGGUGAUUGUCUCGAAGUCUAUUGUAGCUCGGUGAAGUGCUUACUGGCAGUCGCCGCAGUUGGACUCCAACAGUACAGAAUGUUGUAGGUGGUCUGCAUGGCAUGGCAUGGAAUGGAAAGAAAAGAGCAGGAAUGUACGAAAGCAAGCAUGGUCUCCUUUGAAAUCGAGAGGACGUGGAACAAACUCCGCAGUCCCACAUUUCUCUCAUUUCUGCGGACAGGCAGAACAAUAAGAGAGCCGAGAUAGCGUUUGGGCGCACGUGCAAAUUGAGCAGGCAACCCUUGAAACGAUUACGGGGAAAUUAAUCAGACCCCACUGACAUUGACAGCAUGCUCCUUGUAAUACAAGGACUGUUGUUUAAUGUGCCAUAACCG